AGCAGAAAAAGGCAAACCUGUUGAAAGAUAGGGACGCAAAGUCACAGGUCUACCGCGCCUAUUGAGAGUAAAGUCGGAUGAGGCGCCAGGACGGCUGGAUUGCCUGG
rfam:Bacillus infantis NRRL B-14911, complete genome.